rnacentral:lncRNA from 1 species
UUUAUACUAAAUGUGAAAUGAUAUCAGCCAUCUUAUCAUUUAAUCUAAUAGCUUGGAUGAGAUCAUGAGACCAAGUUUCUAAGAUACCUAAGGUACACCAUUAACAGCCCCGACCAAAUCUCUUCUCUCUUGAGCGAUCCCUUUUGCAGUCUCCCUCCCCUCCUUCUCCAUCGGCAACUCCUCCUCCUCCAUUCUUUCAGACAUGACUUCUAGAUUCAUCCAGGACAUCCUCAGUUCCCUUGCCUUCUAUGGCCAAUCUCAGCACCUUUUCAGCCUCUCUGUCCAUUAAGAGUUCCACACGGAUCUCUCACUUGAUCACAUCUCAACCAUUCUUCCCACAUCCUCUGGCUACUUCCUCAUGAUUACCUCCACAGAACUAAGCCAUUUAGCCCCUUCUGUAUCAUCGGCCUGUCCACCAAGCGCUGAGCCCAUCCAUUGUCUACACCUUUGCCAAGCCAAGUGUUUAUCAAGCUAAAUGACUGCAAAAUUGGCUUAAUUUGUUUCUGAACCUGAUCAAUCUGAGCUCGAGCUGGGUCAGUAUUUGAUGAACCUAGCUCAAGCUGCAUGGUUGUUUGGAAUUUAGCUCUAGCUGGGCCUGGCUCCACUAAUUUUGGCUCAUUUACACCCAUAGACUUCACUUUUAUUUUUAUAGAGUAAAAUUUGAGCAGUAAAUGGGAAUAUGUUCUCUCAUAGAAUAUAGCAUAUUAGAAGUAAACAUGAAUCCGUUCUGUGCUUGUGAGGCAUUAUAUCAGUUGAUAUGACAUCUGAAUUGAAGACAUAAUGAAAGUGACCUCAACUCACCCACCUCCAUCUAUACACCAAAAUGUACUUUAAUACAAACAGAAAAAUAUCUGUGGUUUGGGAGAACCACCAAGAAGGCCAUCUCAUUGUUAAGCAACAUAGGAGAACAAAAGAACCUCCACAUCAGUAGAAAAAAAGCAAGUAAACAGACCAAACCAAUAUUGAUGAUUCCAAUAUCAAAGAGAAUAAUUCAUCAUCCUUUAGGCCAGAAUUUUAGUCUACAGGGUAAAAAGGUCCACUUAAGGAUUAGUUUGAUUGGCUUGAAACAAUUGAUUCACACCAGAAUGGGCUCAUAAUCAGUACAGUUUUGGGCCAUGACGUGAUGAGGCAUUUCUUCAUCAGAAAAAACAGUUAUGGCAGCAUAGCCCAGCUGUAUCGGUUGAUGUACCUGUCGUAUUGGCUGAUUCAUGUUGUUCUAGCUUAGAAAUGUUUUGUUUCCUAAUCUGUCUGUUCCAUUCAUCCACAGUAUACAUUUUUUUUUUUUUGGGGGGGGGGGAGGGGAGCAAAGAAACAUGACGAAAAAGAAUAUAUAAAAGAAGAGAGAGAGAGAGAGAGAGAGAGAGAGAGAGAGAGAGNNNNNNNNNNNNNNNNNNNNGAGAGAGAGAGAGAGAGAGAGAGAGUAGGAAGGAAAUUGUUGGGAGAGUGUCACAAUCAUCUUUAUGUUGUAAGAUACCACCAGUAGUGUAUUCUUUCAAAUUAAAUUCCUUGUUGUGCUUAAAAGAUGUGAAAUUUUGGGUGUCCUCACAUAUCUUUCUAAUUAUUUGCAUUACCUCAAUUAACAUAAUUUUGUAACCUAUAUUAGCAUUGAUGGUAGAAUUUGAUAUUCUUUGAAACUCAGAUAACAAUAGUUAGUACAAAUUUCUCAGACAAUAUUUUACAUUUUUCAGCCUUAAGUUAUUUUUUUUAAAUAUCUUUUAUUUUUUUAAAUAUCAGCUGUCAUGCUGCUUCAUAUCAAUAUCCUCUCUCUUCUUUUUAGUUAUUUAUUUUACUUCAAUAAACAUGAUUUCCUAUUGUGUUUACCAUUAUCUGUGGAAAAUGAUGAUACUUUUGAUAUUCAAAUAAGAAUGCUUAGUCAGAGAUCAUCUCAAAUAAUGUUUAUACAUUUUAUCUUUUCUAAAACGUAUUUGUUUGCUUACAGCAUACCGCCUGCCAUGCCACAUGGUCGAUUCACUUAUUUUGUUAGGGUUUAAAUGGGGUAUGAAUUAGGGCUUGAUUAAUUGUCUUGUGCUUGGCGUAUUUGUUUUUUCAGUGUUUGUAAGGUUAAUUGUCAUUAUCACUCAAACAAUAACUUCUAUAAGUUCCUCCUGGAUUAAGUCAUUUUUUAAGUGUUUUUGGUAUAUGAUUUGUUGUUUGAGUUAUUAUACAGGUGUUAGGGAAAGCACAUGAACUUCGAGUUAUAUUUGAUGAAUGGUAUGAGUGUAAAUGUGCUAAAUCCUUCCGAGGUUUUUGAAAUGAUAUCGAUGAGCUUCUAUCUCUUUCUCUAUUCUUCUUCAUCAUCUCCCUCUUUGCUAUUUUUCAUUCUCCAAACUAAUGUAAGGAUCUGAUUCCAAUCCAGCAACGGCUAUGAAUCUUGCACUUCCCUUCCCGCUCCUUCCUCUCUCUUCUUUCCCUCACAUCUGAUUGAGGGGCAAAAGAAAAUCCAUAUAUUGAUGUCUGAACCUUUGAGGCAGACUUCUCUCUUUAAUGACCAGCAUGUGGUACUUGAAGGUGACUGCUAAUUCCGAAUGACCUUGAAGGUGACUGCUAAUUCUGAGUGUCUUUUUUGUAUAACUAGGCCUUCUCAGUUACUUUUCUUUUAUACUUUUUCUUUUUGCUUUGUUCAUCUACUGCUUUUUUCCCCUUAUUUGGUAUGAACUUGCCUUUACUCACAUGUUGACUACAGACGUCCAAAUUAGUCACUCCUUCAGAAGUGCAUCCAUUCACACAAAUUGUCAAAAGAAGCCUUCUACUCCUAAAUUACUGUAAUUCCAUUACCAAACUGCUUCUUCCCUAAACCAUUAGAUCACUUCGCUCCCUCAUAUUACCAAUAUGCCAUUUGGUUUAUAACAGAAACCAACUAAAACUAAGGUUCUGCAGCGAGUCCUACAACGAAGUAAAUGUGCAUUUGUAUAGUGUGUUUUGAGAUGAACUCAAGGCCCGAUAUCAAGAGCUAUCAUCUUGCAACGUUGUCUGCUGGAACUUUGGAGUGGUUGCUUCUUAGUUGGGUGAGCUUAGACUGCAACUAAUAAAUUUGAUCUUCCUACCUGCCAACUGGUCGCUCUCCUGCCUAGGUUUUCCUAGGCCAGGAAGUGGGUACCAGUUUUAGAGUGUUGUCACUAGGCUGGCACCUAGUCAUAAAAUCUGCUUAAUCCUUUCACCAAGCCUUCUCAAGUUUGAGUUUUGUUCUAUAAUCAACCACAUAAUUGAUGGAAGAAAGUCUUGGAUGAUAUCGAUGGUUAUAUAGUGAAAUUUAUAUUUGUGUAGCAAGUGUGUAAAGUUAGUAAAUAUAAAAAAAUGCUAUAGAUUUUACUGAUGAGGACUUGGAACCAACAUGAUUCAUUGAUAUUUGAAUCGUAUGGAAGAAGCUUUAUGCUGAUUGUCUAUGGUCAAGAUGCCUUUUGUGUUGCCUAUUUUACCCCACUAGGUUUGAGAGGCGCCCGAUACAUGAAGAGCUGCUUUGUUUGAAUGAUGACCUGAAAUUUCUUUUUUAUCUGAAGGGGUUUUUAUGUGCUGGAUAUGUUUGUUUACUAAUAUAGUGACCAAUCUCUUUACAAACUAACAACUGCCUAUGUAAAAAUGUUGAGCGACUUACUAAAAGACGUAUACCACUUCCUUUCUUGUGCAGCAAGACCAAUUUCAGCGCCUGUUGCCUACCUUCAUCCAAGUAAUAGAUUUGACUGAGCAGGAGGAAGCUGAGUAUUGGAUGGUUGUGUCUGCUGUGUUUGAGGGAAAACAGAUCCUUUCUGUUCCAUCCAGUUCAAGUUACUCUGAGAAGUCAGGCCUUGAAGAUGGCAUCAAUAACAAGGUUAGCUUAUAAGCACACCUCUUAUGAGCAGGAAAAAGACUGAUGAAGAUACAAUACUCUAAUCAUAAACUGGUAUUAAAUAUUCUGCUACAUCCCUCAGUCCUGCCCCUAGCGGACUGUAUCAUAGAAUAAGUUCACUGAAUAUGUCAUUGCAUGAAUUUUCAACAUUACUUCUUGUUAAAGCAAACCUAAUUUACUUAAUGCCUCUGGAAUGGUUCCAAACUGUGCGGUAUCUAUUUUAUGGGGUCUGUUAGAUCAGUUUGAAGACUGGCUAUUUAAACUAUAAAUUAAUGUAAAGUUAAUCAGAAUAGAUUAUUGUAGAAUCGCUCAGAAUUGAUUUGGUAAAGAAGGAAUCCUGCCCUUGCAUCUUUUUCAUGCACAACCUAUUUGUGGAUCACUGCAAGAUGUUGAUAUGGAUUGUAUCAAUAGGUGCAUCUACUGAGGACGAUGCUUCAGUGGGAGGAGCAGAUGCGGCAUGGUUCAUCCAUGGGAGAAAGAAAGCAUGUGGCAAGCACAUACAGUGGAUCCAAUCCUAUAACUCCUGGUGAAGUUGUGAUCAUACGAUGGCCUCAUGGUGAGAUAAUGAGGAUGAGAUCUGGUAGCACUGCUGCUGAUGCUGCGAGGAGGAUAGGCCUGGAGGGGAAGCUAGUACUGGUAAAUGGCCAACUUGUUUUGCCGCAUACGAAGCUCAAGGAUGGUGAUAUAGUCGAAGUAAGGGGAUAACCAUUACUAUCGUGGAAACUUCUCACAAAGCUCACAUUUUGUCAAAUUACAGAGACUUGCUUUAUCAUCUGUUGGAUGGUAAAUCUAGUGCUGUUAGAGGAUAGUAGAGCCAAACCUCUUGUACAGAUCGAUUCUCAAAAAGGAUCUCUGAUCCUAUCGUGAUGUACAUGUACUUGUACAGCAAUAAAGAUAGUUCAAGUCCUUGAAUGCAACUUUGCCAUCAGGUAAGCUGUUAACAGUUGCAAUAGAUCAGUCUCAAGCAUCUUUUGAUGCAAUUAUACAUAGUUUCAGGCAAGACAAAACCACUGACCACCUCUCUACUGUUUUGGUCACUCUACAGGACAGUUUCCUCGAAGACAUCCCAAUUCUGUAUUUAAACCAAUGCUUCUCCAACACAUAUUUAUCCCCACAUCUGUAGCCCAUGGUUGCAACCAUAUGCUUUUUAAACAUCCACCGAAAAAACUAUGCUUUUUAAACCAAGAAAAAUUUCUAAUAAUUUAAAUUUUAUCCAUUUUCGAUUAGUUGCUUAACAGAUCCGCCAAAGUAAGGCAAGAAACUAAUAUUUAAGACGUUGAUAUGGUCUAGUAUAUUGAGAAGCAAACAAAUCAUGGUAGGUGUCUUUUUCAGCUGCAUGUCAAAGAAUAAAUCAAGUAGGAAAAGGGGAAAUCUUUUAUACAGAAGGAGAUUUGACAGAAAAGUUGGGGGGGCACCUUACUUCUGUUCAGGGAAUCGGGGAGCUCGUCAAUGCAAGACCUACCCUAUCCAUAGAAAAAGGAUCAAUUAAAUGAGAAAUCGACAAAUAGCUCCCCAUCUAUUUUUUUUUAUAGCACCAAAGUACCAUUACUCCGUAUACCCACAAAAGAUAAAAAGAAAACAAAAAACAUAGUUUAGUUGGUCUCGGAGGCAGUGUGAAUCAUGCUCUUGGAUGCUGUUGGACUCCUGAAGCAUCACUUGGUUCCUAGAAAUUGACGCUUGGGGGAAGGUGAUUUCUGAUCCCCACAAACUGAGACAAUUCCUCACUGGUAGAAUGCACCUAUCUAUUAUUAGCUGGAUGGUAGGAGUCCAAUGCUUUCAUGCGAACUGUGCUGUCUAAUGGCCUACUUUUCUGUGAUUGUGAUUGACAUCAGAUCUAUUUUGCAUUAACUAGAGAGGUUUUCUUUAGUAAUAGCUAGAUAUGAUCAGUGGAAGUGAUUUAUUAAUAUGUAUUUUAGCCUAAACUGAGGUGCUAUAGUUUGCAUUAACUAGAGAGGUUUUCUUUAGGAAUAGUUAGAUAUGAUUAGUGGAAGUGAUUGAUUAAUAUGUAUUUUAGCCUAAACUGAGGUGCUUUAAACCACUUAGUUGCUUCUUUUUAAUUGAGAAAAGGAUCUGACAGAUACUGUCACAUUCAAUGCGGGAGAUUGAUUUAGAAUUGUGAUUAUGUGGGGUAAGGGAGGUAACGGCAUACAUAAGAUGGAAGGGAAUAUGUCCAAGUUUACGAUCCCUUUAACACGGUAGUGAUGCCUAGCAACUUUUGUCCCGUUAACCAACCAAAAAGGGAAAAGAAACCCUUAACCCACUGUUGCUGGAAAUUGGACUCGGGGGCGACCAGUGGCUAAGAAGGAGGAGCUCUGGCAUGAGAUGGCGGAUGGCGGUCCGUCGGCGGGCGGCGUCCUUUGGGGGACCUGCAAAAAGCCAGUGGCCGAGGUUUCUGGCGCCGGCUCUCCGAUACUUAAGUCAGAGGGGGCUAAUGUGUAGAGAGGGAGAAAGUAUUUUCUGGAGUUUCAGAGUCCAGACCUGCUCUAAGAGGGAGGGGUUUUCCUUUUAUAGAGGGGUACAGGAUUACCUGCAAUGCGAUGGGGCGAACGGGUUACGUCAUGAUCGUGUGAAUUAAUGCACGAUCGUGUGAAUUAAUGCACAAUCGUGUGAAUUAAUACAUUGCCGUGGGAGAUCAGGUCGGAGCCAAUGAGUCGUCGUGGCUGAUCGGACGUAACUGAGUGGGCCAACUGCUUGCCGUGGAGGGCUUGAGAUCCGUAGAUAGCAUGCGCAUUGAUUGUUGAGUGAGCCGGAGAUCAGGCGGAGGCCAUGCGCAUUAAUUGUUGAGUGAGUCGGAGAUCAGCGGAGGCCAUGCACAUUAAUUGUUGAGUGAGUCGGAGAUCUGCGGAGGCCAUGCGCCUUAAUUGUUGAAUGAGCUGGAGAUCUGCGGAGGCCAUGCGCCUUAAUUGUUGCAGGGCAUGGUCCCCAAUCAAGCUGCAGAAGAAUGUGACCGCAGCAGGUGGAUAGUGAGAUCGGGCUUCCGAGGUCAAGGAUGCUAAGGUCGGGUGCCCGGGUCGAGCGUCUCGGAGUCGAGCGCCUGGCCGGGCGCCAGAUCGGGCUUCCGGUUGGGCAUCUUGAAAUCAGAUGCCUCUAGGUCGGGCGCCUUUAGGUCGGGCACCUCCAGGUCGGGUGCCUUCAGGUCGGGCGCCUCUGAUCACGUGCUGGUGAUGCGCUCACGUGUUUCAGGGCGAUUCAUUUUUCCCCAACACCCACUACCUUAAAAUUGGGUAUGUUAAAUAGAAUGAUUAGUACUUUUUUUUUUCUUUGGGUUGGGGGGGGGGGGGGGGGGAGCGGGGGGGUCGGUUUACUGAAGAAGAUAAGAUAUUUACAAAAAGAGUGAAAUUAGAUGAUCUGUAGGAAGUUACUACAAAUCCUUUACUCAAAUAAAUAAAUAAAUAAAUAAAUAAUAUAUUUUUUUAAAAAAAUAAAAAUAAUGUCAACAAAAGUAUAAUUUCAGUGAAGGAAUUUUUCUAAAAAAAGGUGGGGUUCGAGGUGUGCUAGACCUACAUCUAUGUAGAUGAAACCCAACUAAGUAAGUAAAAAAUUCCGUCCUCUAAAAAGUAGCCUUGAAAUUAAUCCAUAAGAGUUCAAUUUAGUAAAUAGAAAAAAAAGGUUUAAGUCCAUUGUAAAUUCCUUCAAUAAUAUACUUGCUUAAAUUGCUUCUACAUGAACUUCAAUUCUGCCAGAUCCAAUUCUUAGAUAAGUUAAAAGUUGCAAAGCAUCCGAAAAAAAGAAACCCUACUUUUAUACAAAAGUUUUUUCCUUCCGCAUAUUGAGCUCGUAAGUGGAAAUGUGAUUGAAAUGUGAUUGGUUAUACGACUCCUGUGGGGCUUCCUUUACCAUUAUCUUCUACUAGGAAUAAAAAAAAAAGGAUACUUUCUUGGAUAUGUAAUCUGUAGAUGCCAAGAUCAAUCAAACUUUUGGAGCCAAUCAUGUUUGCAUCCGUUGUUUACUUGGCAACGACUUUUUGAUGAUGCUUUGCACCUUUUAAUGGAAUCUCCGAAAAAAUAAAAAAUAAAGAAUAAUAAGGUGAAGACAAGAUUUCAUGUAGGUAGUGGCCUGAUCGACGUCCCUUUCAGAAAUUAAUCAUUCUUGUUAGACUACCAACUUAACUCUAAAUGCUAAUAUCCAUUAAAAAACGAAGUAGAAGAAGGAGAUGGAUAUCGCACCAACGAAAAAAGGUUGUGCAUUUCAAAAAAGCAUAAUAAAUAAAUAAAUUCAACAAAAAAGCCCUUGCGUAAAGCCCUCAGUGAAGAAUGAGGCAAAAAAACAUUGCCAUUUGUACCAAUACAUACAUACAUACAUACAUAUAUAUAUAUAUAUAUAUAUAUAUAUAUAUAUAUAUAUAUAUAUANNNNNNNNNNNNNNNNNNNNAUAUAUAUUAUUUUUUAAAAUUUUUAAAAAUAAUAAAAUAAUAUUUUUAUGAAAAUAAAUUUUUUAUUUUUUAUGAGAAAGAAAAACUCAAUUUAGAAAAGCUUUUUUUUCUCCGAUUAGAAAUUUAGAUUUUUUAAAAAAAUAUAUAUUUUUAAGUCAUCAAAAUUUGAGUAUUUUUUUUUAUUAAAGAUGUAAUAGGUAUUUCAUCUAAUUUUCAUUCUAAUUUUAAUCUCUUAUGAUCCCUUCCUGUGGGUUCCAAAACUCUUAUCAUAUCUGUCAUUAAGCAGUUAUGGCGAUGGAAGGGUCACAGUGGCCAAACGGUCAAAAAUCGUACCAUUUGACGCUGCUCUCCGUUAUACUGCAAUGAUAACCAUGUCCCUUAUCCCAAACCCCAUAAAACUCAAGCCUCUUGGGUCCUCCCAUGUCUAUAAAACCUAACCUUUUGCUUUUAUUAUAUGAAGCGGAGGGAGCUGAUGGAGAUUCAAUUUGCUCGUACAUAAAGAUUGAAAAAUUCAUGGAGUGAAAGCUCAUCUCUUACUAAUUCAUAUCAUUCGAGUAACUUAUGAUACUACCAAUCUACCAUGAGUAUCUUUCUAUCUACAAGGAAGCGGGUCGAGUCUCGGUGAUAAAUAAAGAAAUCGAAUUACUCCUUUUACAUGGGAUGGGAGUCACAGAAUCUGACAUAAUUGAAGUAGCGAAGUUGAGUUAUUCCUCUCUCACUCUUGUAAAAAUUCUCUUUUACGUGCCUUGCAUAUAUACCACAUUACAAUCCUUAAUAAUCAAAUUGAUAUGCUUUUUUUUCCUCAUCUCUUUCUUUCAUUUUUUUCUAUCAAUCAUUCAGUAAAUUUUUAAUCAUCUUACUUAAGGUAUAAAAAAAAGAAUCUAGAUAUUUUUCUAAUCAAUCUAUAUCAUAAUUGUUCAUGUUAGAGGAAGGUAAAAGUGGUCAAUCAAGAAGCUAUAAUGUUAGAUGACUGUGGUCCAUUCCGGCAACUGCUGUUUAUUCUGGUAGCUUAUAUUUCACAUGAUGGUAGCUUAGAAUGGUAGGUUAGAGUGGUAGCUUAGAACUAAGAUGUUUGUCACCUCCCAAUCUCAUUUCUCCCAGUCUACCCUGGGAAGGCUAGGUGGUACAUCACAUGGUGGGCUCUGUUGCAAACAAAACAAUGACCCUCCAUAAAAUACAUACAUAUAUACAUACAUACAUAAAUAUACAUACAUAAAUAUACACACAUAUAUAUACAUAUAUAUAUAUAUACAAAAAUAUGUAUAUACAUAUAUGUGUACGUAUAUAUACAUAUAUAUACAUAAAAUACAUACAUGCAUAUAUAUAUAUAUAUAUAGUGGGGAUUGAUAACCUACUCUCUGUUAUGAUAGGUUAUCAAUCUACCCNNNNNNNNNNNNNNNNNNNNNNNNNNNNNNNNNNNNNNNNNNNNNNNNNNNNNNNNNNNNNNNNNNNNNNNNNNNNNNNNNNNNNNNNNNNNNNNNNNNNNNNNNUUAAUUACUACCCUCCUCAACCUCCUAAUUAGUACUCUUUCCCUCCUCUCUCUCUCAUACAUGUGUGUGUGUAAACAUACAUACACACAUAUAAGUAUAUAUAUAUAUAUAUAUGUACUAUAUAUAUACAUGUAUAUAUAGGAAUAUUUUUUUCUUCAUUUUGGCUUCUUUGAAGAGUCCUAAUGCUGGAAGAAGACUAGAUAUGUCUUUGAUUUCUCUGGUCAUUUUUCUUAGGGCUCUCUCUCCUUUUAUAUAGGGAAAUCAAUCCUUACCUCCUCUUGCAUGCACUACAUAUAAUAAUCAAUAGUUAAAUAUAAUACCAAUUUCUCUUGCAACUCUAACCUUGCAAAAUCAACCCGAAACUUUCCAUAUUAUACUUAGGACCCCAUGUAUUAGUUCAUUAUGCAUUGGUUUGGGUUGUAUCUUCCAUGUAAAAGAGUGAUUCCCCCUUUUUUUUUUUGCAACAUUCAAAGAACUAUAAUCUUUAUCUUCCAUCUGCUGCACAGAUCUUGAUAUGGAUAUUGCAUGAUCCAAUGAUUGACGCUGCGAAAAAGAAAUAAUCAUUUUUUUCAUACGAAAGAUAUAACCCGAAUCCAUCAUGCCUGUACCUUUCAUGCACAUGGUACAAUUGCUCCCAAGAUUUAGUAUUUGCUACUUUCAUUAUCACAAGAGAGGACUGCUAUCAAAAGAGUUGGAAGGAGAGGACUGCUAGAAUUAUAUUUGAAGUAUAUCCGAUCAUUUUUAUAAGAUGAUUACACCUAUCCAAAUACUAGAGUCAAGAAUUGAAUGCAGUAGAUGCAACCAAACAACAUUACACAACUAUAGUAAGUGUAAUUAUUACAACAUGAAGAAACAAAAUGCUAGAGAUCACUUGCUAGUUUAUGGCUUAGUUCACCAGUCGAACGUAGAGAUCAGUGAUUAAUCGAGAACUUGAUUGACACCGCUAACUCGCCUAUGUAUCUCACCAUUUAGUGAUUACCACAUUAGUCCAACGACUCAAGGGUGAUUGAUGGCAGCACUCUUGCAACACAUGAUCACAAUUACAUAUAAAUUGGUUGGGUAUCACCAACCAAUUUUUUUAAAUAUAGUUAUAUAAAAUCUUUAUUUGCUCAUGGCCACAUGUAUUAAUUGCUCGGCAAGCUUGUUGCAUGUAAUUAAUUCGUGAGGGAGUAUUUAAUUGAUGAUUGUGAUCCCAUCAUUCCAAAAUUGUAUAUAAACAUUCUUGUACCUUUACAUCAUGCUUCUACUUAUCCUAGUUCCCCAAGGGGUAAAAAAAUCCACGAAGAGGAAUAGUCAUAAGGAGUCCAUGAGCUCUUAGGGCAGGAUAGCAGAAAUAAAUUUAAUAGAGGAAACAGGGCAACAUGAUUGUAAUCUCUUAUUACCACUAUGCUGAGGACAUCAUGUCAGUUUAAUGCUUUGAAGAAGUUAAAUGAUGAGCAAGAAAAAAAUAUCUUCAACAAAAAAAAGAAAAAGAAAAGGAGAACGUUUUAUUAAAUAAUUUUAAUAAUUUUAUUAAAAAAUAUCUCUUAUUACCACCUUGCAUAAUUUUCUUAUUUCCAAUUUUUCUUGUGUUUUCCACCUUAAAGAUUGGGUCGAGUAUUGUAAGAUCCAUAGCAAUUUAGACCACUGCAUUUGCGAGGCAAGCAACCCAACCCGAGGUCUUAUAUUGGCCACCGAAAAAUAAAAAUAGUAUAAAUAUAAAUAUACUAUAAAUAUAAAUAUAACCCAACCCAAUCCAACCCUCCCCCCCCAACCUAACAAAAAAAAAAUAUAUAAAUAUCCUCUUAAAUAUUGAAUUUUGUAUGAAUAUUUUUCUAAAUUAAUAUAUAUAUAUCCUCAAAAAAUACUUAUUUUGCUAUUCUACUUUUUUAUUUUAUUUUUGUAUAUAUACCUACAUCUUCUACCACCGUUAAAAAAAUUAACGAUUUCGAAUUAAAAUAAUUAAAAUAUUUUUAAUGGAUAGAUGUGCAAAAAAAUAUUUAUAAUGCAAUUGCGAUGAAAAAAUAAUAAUUUUAAUUUUUUAAUAAAAAUUAAAUAUAUUUUUUUAUUAAUGGCAUUAGCAUAACAGAAACAUUUGUACAAAAAUAGUGUCAUAUAAGGAUAAAAAAUAAAUAUAAAUUUAAAAAAUAAUUUGCAUAAACUUAAAUUUUCAGAAGGUCGUUAAGGAAAAAAAUUUAAAAAAUAAAAAUAAAAAAUAAAAAAUUGAUGAUUUUGACCGCUGCCUUCGACCCAGCUGCCAGUUCCAUGCUGGCCCACGUCACUGAUAAGGGAACGUUACACCGCUUUUAUUCCUCCCCACCAAAUAGGCAGAGAACCGACGGGCAUAUCGAGGCACGAUAAGCCUGCUUGCUUAUCGUUCUGACCCGCGAUAGCUACCGCUCACUACACGAGAUCGUGAUGCGUUGAUGGGCCGAUAAGAUAAGACCACCGGUUAAAGGGAUGUCAUAUAUUAUUUCUAUAAAAAUUAAUGAUAUUCGGGUUAUUUAAUAACCUUAAAAAAUGAGAAAUAAAGUGGAAGGCAAGGGCAGUGAACACGUACGAGGAGGAUGACGUGGCUCCCCUUUAGCCUCCGAUUAAUUACCGAAAUACCCUCCUACAUUUAAAUGACCGUUUUGACCCACCGGGCAUCGAUGGCAGGUCUGAAAUUAACGACGAUUAAACCGUUAAUACACCGGCCUAAGCUCUGAUUAAACCGUUAAUGCAGGAUCUUAGGAUCAACAUGAUGUGUAACAUAAUAAUUUUAAAAAAUAAUAAUUGUUAUUUAGUGGUCAUGUAAAGUUGAAAUGUAAAAUUGUGAAUGUAAUUUAAAAGGCUAACACAAUAUAAAUUAGAAUUUUUGCAUCCAGCAAAUAGUGAUCUAUGAUACCCAAAUGUCAAGAUUAUAUUAGAUUGACAUUUGGGUAUAAUAUUUUUAUAUAAUUUUUUAUAUAAUGAUUAUAAUAUUUUUUAUUUAUUAAGAAUAAUAAUAAUAAUAAUAAUAAUAAUAUAUUUUUAACGUCAUCUUUGGAUGAAAUUGGAUCGGAUCCUAGCAUACCUAUACCAUAUUCGUUUUGUUUGACAAAUGCAGAUAUAAAUAUAAAUAUUAGUCGAAUGCAAAAAUUCGCAUCCAUAUUUUUUUAAAUGGAUACAUAUAUAAAUUAGAUACUAAGAAUAUGAACAUAAAUACGGAUAUAAAUUGGAUAGUUAAACAAAAACAAAGAUAUUACUAAGUAGAUGAUAAAUUAAGUUAGUAGAAUGUUAAUGCAUUUAUUUAUUUUUCUUAGAAGUUUAUAAGUAUCAUAUAAAAUUAAAUAGAAUUACAAAUAAAAUCAGAUAUUCGGAUACGAAUAUUAUUUUCAUUUUUUUUUAUGGAUAUGGAUAUAAAGAUAGAUAUUAGUCGGAUGCUCAAAUUUUUUUUUAUAUUUGAAUAGAUUUGGAUACUAAAAUGGUUUCACUAAUGAUAGACCAUUAACCAAGUUAUUUUUUAUAGUUUUAAUUGUACCGUUUAAUUAUCAAUCCUGUGGGCAGAAUGGUAUUUUCAAAUAAAUAUAUUUCGAGAAUAUAGGGUAAAAUUGUUAAAGUGAGAGGUCAUGGGACAGAUGGAGAUACCGAGGUGAAACUAACUCGAGGGGUAUGUUGGGAAGUGAGGAAAGCGGGAAAGAGAACGUACAGCCAGAUUCCUCUUUUGCUAUAAAAGCGAGGAGAGAGAACGAGAUGGAGAGGGCGAAUCCAAGAAUGGGGCUAUAAAAGGCGACAAAGAAAGGGAGAGCUCAGAGAAUCCAACACGGCGCCAUAAGAGAUAAAAAGGAGAGUGGAGAGAGAGGCGGAGGGCUUUUCGAAACCCUAGAAAUCGCGAGGAGAGUCUCUAUCUCUCAGCUUCGAAUCCGGUUUCUCCCUGAUAUUUCUCUACUUGGUUUCUUCGGCAGGCGUGGUCCCAGAUCGAGGUCUCCUCUCGAUUCCUGCGAGAAACGAGCUUCUUCUUGCUUUAGAUCUGGAAUGGACGAAGAAACGAGGUCUUUCUCUUGAUUUAAAGCUGGACGGUGGGUUUUCUUUGUUUCUCUUGCUGUUUCUUUGGUAGAUGUUUGGCACGGCUGCGUUUGGUUGGUGGAAAGAAGGGUUUUUGUGGGGUUCUGAUGAGAUGGGUUGUUUGCUUGUCAGAUAUUGUUGGAGGAUGAGGUCUUUGUGAGAAGACGUGAAGCGGAGCCGGUGGUGGUUGGUUUUCUAAUUUCAAGUUUCUCUUGAUCUCAGCUCAAAUCUUUGAAAGUCGUGAGAUUCUGUGGGCUAAGGGGGUUUCAAGAAGGAAAAGUUGUGAUUUUUUAUCGGUCUUGGAAGUUUGUCUUUUUUCUGUUUCAGCUGUUUGUUUAAGGGUUCCGAUGACUGAGGUCUAAAUUUUAUCUCUGAAAGGGUUUUGAGGCUGGUCUGAAAGGGUUUUGGGAGGAAAGGGACAGUCGCUGGAGAUGAUAAAGGAAAGCUUCGUUAGGCUUUUGCUUGUCCUGUUGUUGUUUCCUGUUUAAAAAUCAAAUCUUUGUACUGGAGCGUUUAGGGAUUCCGGGAAGUAUGUCUUCCUUGAGUAGGGAAUUGGUUUUCCUUAUACUGCAGUUCUUGGACGAGGAGAAGUUCAGGGAGACGGUUCAUAAGUAAGUUGCCUUAUUUUCUUCAGCUAUUUCAAGAAAAAAGUUAUUUUGUCCCUGCUCUGCAUACUUACGUGGUACGUUUCCUUGGAAUUUUAGGUUGGAACAAGAAUCUGGCUUCUUCUUUAAUAUGAAACACUUGGAGGAUCAAGUUCUUGCAGGGGAGUGGGAUGAAGUUGAACGGUAUCUGUGUGGGUUCACAAAGGUUGAUGACAACCGGUAUUCCAUGAAAAUCUUUUUUGAGAUAGGGAAGCAGAAGUAUCUUGAAGCUCUUGACAGGUAUGACCAAUGUGUUUGAUACUUUACCGCCUAAAUUAUUGGUAAGAACUAGAACAUUUUGAAUUGGUUAUUGUGUUAAUUUCAGGCAUGACAGAGCAAAAGCUGCUGAGAUACUUGUGAAGGAUCUCAAAUCCUUCGCAUCUUUCAAUGUAGAACUGUUCAAGGAGAUCACACAAUUGCUUACCCUGGAGAAUUUCAGGUAAUUGUUGUUGGGUUUUGUUUCUAUUUUCCAUGAUGACUUGCAUUUCUUGGCACCAAUACGACUACUUUAAUUGUGCUUGUGCAGGCAGAAUGAGCAGCUCUCGAAGUAUGGUGACACAAAGUCUGCUCGCAAUAUUAUGCUUAUAGAGCUUAAGAAGCUCAUUGAAGCUAAUCCGUUGUUCCGUGACAAGCUUAUGUUUCCACCUUUCAAGGCUUCAAGACUACGGACAUUGAUCAACCAGAGGUAUCUCCUCUUUUUGACAUUACAUUUCAAGGAAAUCUAUUUUUAGUGAAAAGGAAUGUGAUGCAUUUUUAGAUACCGAGCCCUGCUGUAUUUAUAGAUCUAUUUCCAAAUCGAUAUUCCUUUGUCAACUUGAGACCCUUUCUUGUUCUUAAAAUGAUUGUGUUGAAUUCUUCAAGUUUUAUGAUACAUGACAUAUGAGACAAUAUGAUGUGCUUUAUGUUUCCUUCCACAUAUUUGAUUUAUGUGUAUAAUGAUCUCUGUAGAUGCAUAAACAGUAAUGGAAUUAAAUUCCAUGCAAGUCUAUAAAUUUACAGUAUUUGGACAUACUAGACGAUAGUGGAAGUAGGAUUUCGUUUUGCAUUUCAUUUAUCCCAUUGCUUGCCCUUAUGUUUCACUUUCCUUGAUAUCCUACUUAUUUGUGCUUUUGCUUGUAGUUUGAACUGGCAGCAUCAGCUUUGCAAGAACCCACGACCCAAUCCGGAUAUCAAAACACUUUUUACUGAUCACUCAUGUGCUCCUCCUACUAAUGGAGCGUGUGCUCCUCCACCCACCAACGGCCCCCUUGUAGGACCUAUUCCAAAACCAGGGGCAUUUCCUCCUAUUGGUUCUCAUAGUGUAAGCAAAUUGUUUUAUCUCUUAUCUGGUAAAGCGGUUCCACCAAUUCCGGGCUGCUAACUAAUGCCAUUCCUGCUUACCAUGCAGCCAUUCCAACCAGUUGUACCUCCAUCUGCAAGUGCCAUUGCAGGAUGGAUGUCGAGCGCUAACCAAUUGAUGCCACACGCUGCUGUGGCUCAAGGUCCCCCAGGUCUUGUGCAAUCUCCAACCACAAGUGAAUCUCUUAAACUCUAGAAUUAUCAUAAGCAGAGAAUAUCUCAUAUUUAUCAUUUGAGUUCUCAGAAAAUGUGGCUAUAUGUUUUGCAGCAGCAUUUUUUAAGCACCCAAGGACUCCUACAAGUAUUCCUAGUAUGGACUAUCAAACCGCUGACUCUGAGAACUUGAUGAAGAAAAUGCGCACUGGCCAUUCAGAUGAGGUUGAGAAUAACAAUGUCAAAUUCUAUAAAUAUACUGCACACUGUAAUUUGGUGUUCUCUGGGUAUGAUGCUUCCAUUUAUCUUUGAAAAUAUAACCAGAAAGAUUUUUUUAGGUGUCAUUCUCUAGUGCAAGUCAUCCUCCCAACAUUUAUACUCCCGAUGAUCUCCCCAAAACUGUUGUGCGGGUCCUCAAUCAGGGUUCCAGUGUCAUGAGCUUGGACUUCCAUCCGCAACAACAAACAAUUCUUCUUGGUGGAUACUUUGAUCCGACAACUACAUUGUCAUGUUAGCAAUCAUUUAUUUUUUUUGAAUUACAUUCUGUAUACUGAUAUGUGACUGAAUUGUGGUUUGCAGUUGGAACAAAUGUUGGUGAUAUUGCAAUAUGGGAAGUUGGAUCUCGAGAAAGGAUAGGACAUAAAACAUUCAAGGUUUGGGAUGUAAAAUCUUGUUCGAUGGCCUUACAGGUAUUGUUUCUUUGACUGAGCAUGGAUAGCCAUUGUGUUUGCUCGACUUAAAAUGCUCUAUUUGUUGAGGAGGUUCGUUUGGGUAACUUGUGCUAUUUCUUAAAUAUUCCUUUCUAAUAAUUUUAUAUUCAGGCAGCAUUGGUGAAAGAUGCAAUGAUUUCUGUCAAUCGAUGCUUAUGGAGUCCUGAUGGAUCUGUUCUUGGUAUAGCCAAAAGCAAGAUUCUUGUUUGCUAAUGCACUUUCCAUUUCAAUAUGGAUGCCUUUCUGUCAUAGAAUAGGGAGUCUUUUCAACUUGACAAGUUUUGUUUUACUCACAGUCAUACUCAAGAUCUGCUAUGUGAUUUCUUGUAGGCAUUGCAUUUUCAAAGCAUAUUGUGCAGACCUAUGCUUUUAUUUCCAAUGGAGAGUUGCGGCAAAAAUUGGAGGUCAGUUAGCAGUUUGUCCUAGCAGCUCUAUAUUUGCUUCUAACUUGUGACUUUUUUCUGGAUACAUAGAUUGAGGCUCAUAUUGGUGGUGUCAAUGAUAUUGCCUUUUCUCAUCCCAACAAAAGUUUGUCAAUAAUCACAUGUGGCGAUGACAAGACAAUUAAGGUUAAUCAAUGAAGCCCUAUGCUGGUUUUUGGAAAGAUAAUGAAAAGGUCAAGAUGAUGUUCACAGUGUUCAUUGCAUGACUGACAGGUUUGGGAUGCUACAACAGGACAACGACAAUAUAUAUUUGAGGGUCAUGAGGCUCCUGUGUAUUCUGUCUGCCCUCACUAUAAAGAGUCUAUUGAGGUAUUUGUCACCUCAUGAAGUUGACUUCUACUGGUUUGGCCCUCAUUUUCGUUUAUUUAUUGAGCGAGUGAGCGCAUGUUCACAUGCUUCAAUCAACAUUUUCUCUGAUGGUGUUGAUGACUCAUCUCUGAAAUUUUUCAGGAGAGUCAUCUUUUAUCCUUCUAUCACCAUAUUUGCAAUCUCUCUCACUUAGUAUUUCUUGCAGUUCAUAUUCUCCACUGCUACUGAUGGUAAAAUCAAAGCAUGGUUAUAUGAUUGUUUGGGAUCUAGAGUUGAUUAUGAUGCUCCUGGACACUGGUGUACCACAAUGGUGUAUAGUGCAGAUGGAUCAAGGUGAAAAUAGCGUCACUAUCGUGUAGAAGUUUAAGGCAUGACUGUCUGCUAGUAUGUCUAGUUUCAUUGUUAUGUUUAGUGCACAAUGACCACAAUUCAUGCAUAUACGCAUGGAUCUAAUAGAAUAGUUUGAUCAUAAUAUGGUAGUUCUGCUGAAACCAUUGCAGAUGCUGUUACCCUAAGACUUUUGUCUGGCCUGAAACUUCCAACACAAUUUUUUGAAAUAUUUCAUAGCUGGGUUAUUAAGACUUUGUGAGCUGUUAUAGCAGCAUAUGACAUCUGGUGCUGUAUCAUUUUUAAAAUUAAAUACUGCUGUUUUUUAUUUAAAUAAGAGGGUAAUAAACAUAUCUGAAAUGUUAAUAUAAUAACACUAAAUUCUAUGCAUGGUUUCUGUUAAAUAAUGACUUUGUGAGUAUUGAUUGUCAAAAUGUUAUAAAUGAUAACAAAAAUUAUAUACGUGAAUUUAUAAUGAUUGCUCUGUACGUUUAUGAUGUAGAGAGGAUGCCUGAAACUAUUAAGAGUAGCAUUUACCUAGUUGGCAUGGAUACUUCAAAUUGCGUGCCGUAUCUGAUAUGCAUGCUUGUUGGAUACUUCUAGGAUAUGUGUGCAAUACUUAUUUUGAGUGCCCUGUUUUUCAAAAUUUGAACAAACAAUUUGGGAUGCUUCACGGAUAUGCCUAAGAUACCCUUGAUACUUAUAAGAAUGAGGAGUGGGUCUUUAUUUUCUUUUAUUUAUUGAUGAAUGUUGACAUUUUAAUGACGAAUACUUUAUUUUGAAGUUGGUUAUGUUGAUAUUAUUGUAUAGAGUACCAAUUACAAUGUUUUAGAGGCCAUCACAAUGUUACAAAUGCAGUUGUUUCAGACAAUGUAUAAUAGUUAACUUUUGUUUCGGUUGACUUUUUCAAGAUGAAUUCGAUGACAUUUAUUGCAAUCAACACUUUAUGAUUUUGUUGUGACCUAAUCAUUCAUUAUUCACAUCUUUGUUCCAAAUUGCAGGCUAUUUUCUUGUGGAACUGGUAAAGAAGGUGAUUCACAUUUAGUUGAAUGGAAUGAGACCGAAGGAGCAAUUAAGAGAAUGUACUCUGGCUUUAGGAAACGCUCAUUAGGUGUCAUCCAGUUUGACACAGCUAGGAACCGCUUCUUAGCUGCUGGAGAUGAAUUUAUGAUUAAGUUUUGGGAUAUGGAUAAUACAAACAUCCUAACAACUGCAGAUGCUGAUGGUGGAUUGCCUGUUAGUACAAUAAUAUCCAUCGGUAAACUUAUUUUUAUUCCUUGUCUAAUAAGGAAAUAAAUAUUGACAAAUUUGCGUGACCCUUUAUUGCAGGCAAGUCCUCGAUUGAGAUUCAACAAAGAAGGCUCUUUGCUUGCAGUCACGACAAGUGAUAAUGGAAUUAAGAUCUUAGCAAACAGUGAUGGACAACGUUUGAUAAGAAUGCUAGAGAGCAGGACAUACGAGGGCUCUCGAGCCACUUCUCAGCAGAUUAACACUAAAGUAAAAUUUUACAUAUCCUGAUAAAUUUCAUAGAGAACUCAUAUCUUGCCAUGCUAAUAAUUGCAAUAUGUCGAUUUUCCAGAUUCGUCCCAAGCCUGCAUAAAUUCACGUAUCAGUGCCAAGCUAUGUAAUAAGAAUUAUGCACAUUGAGAAUAGUUUGCCUUGGUUGUGUAACAUAAAAUCUUUAAUUGAUGCUGAUGGAGAAAAUUAUUUCCAGGUUGAGUCCUAUCUAUAGGAGAAGAAUUGGCUUUUUUGAGUCUCCAUAUUAGGAUCAUCGAAGCAAAUUUAUGUCCUUGUAUUAUGUACUAGAAUACAUAAGAUUACUUAUUGGACUGGUUCUUAAUUAUCAUGUAUUUGUACAUGUGAACUUACUGAGAAUCCAAAUUGUUGUCCUUCUGAGAUUCAUAUAUGGAGACUGAAUCUAUUCUGAUUAAUUUUAAAAAAACACAAUUUAAUGGUUAAGAUAAAUGUUAGAACAUUGAGCACAUGCAAAUUGGGACAUCGGUUUUUUGAUAAGUUAUUUCUUAAUGGUUGUUAUGCUUUUAUUUUAAUAUUAUAUCCAAAGUGAUUAGUGCAUGAAAUUACCAUAAUGGAAAUAGUUUUUCACUUGAUUCAUGGAUGGGCAUUGGAGCUGGGUUCAAUCAUUGCAGCAAACACAACAGUCAAUAUAUUUUUAAAAAGUAUCUGUGCAUGAUCCUUGUUCUCAUAUAAGAAAAUGUUUCCUUGUGCAGCCUCAAAUUGUUAACACGAUGGGUUCUGUUUCAAAUGUUUCUGGCUCUCUAGUGGCUACCCUUGAGCGCCCGGAUAGAAUUUCACCUGCAGCGUCAAUGAGUGCCUUGGUUAGUAAUGGUGUGCUGCCAUGAUAUGCAAUUCCUAUCAAGUGUGCAUUUCUAAUAUUAAAAUCUGGAUCAAUAUUGCAGACUACUAUGGAUGCUACUAGAACAGCAGACAAACCAAAAAUCUUGGAUAAUGCUGACAAAUUCAAUAUCUGGAAACUGGCUGACAUUGUCGAUUCUAGUCAGCUCAAAGCUUUGCGGUUGCCAGACUCCAUGUCAACAACAAGCAAGGUAUAUAGUAGAUAUACAGAGUUUAUUUCAAUUAUGUUUCUUGGUUUGGCAUAUUAAUCAAUAUAUCCGAGGGAGCAAAAUUUAUAUUUAUUGAUUACUAAUAAUUUUAAGAAUGAUCUGUUUCUCAAAAUUACAUCUUGAUUUUUUACAGGUGCCAACUUCUGUUGGUUUUGAUUCUUUAAGGCAUGACAUUUUUUUAGCUUUAUUAUCAUGUAAAUACUCUUUCUUCAUAUUCGAAUUCUCUUUCAGAUAUUCAGGCUGAAUUCUUUCUCCUCCUUGUAUGAGUAUGGGUUCUUAGACUUGAUUUAUGGUCCUACAACUUGAAUGAUGCAAAGUAUAAUUUAGGAGUUUUGAGUUGUGUUAGCCAGAGCAGCACGUUUAGAGGAGUACAAUUCAAGUGUUAGAAUCUAAAGCUAGUUUAGGAAAGCAGACUCCUACUUUUGUUUUGUUUAGGCUGAUAAGUCAUGUGGCUUUGUAAGUCAAAACAUUAACAUUUUUUGCAAGCCUUGCUAAUUAUAUUAAUGAGCUAGAACUUCUAUUUCACACCUUGAAUCCCUAGUCCAUCUCGUGGUGCAUCUCUGAAUCGUAAAAUACCAUCCUUUGAUGUUCUUUCACUAAAACAAAACCUUGCUGUUAUCAAUGCUACUUUAGAAUACCUAGUUUUAUUACCUAGUGCUAGCUGAAACCGUUUCACUGAAACUCAAUCAGCCCCUUCAAAUCUUUUAUGCAUCAUUGAAAAUUGUGGCUAUUUUUACUGGUUCAGCAUUCUAGCUAUUGCACUCAUUGCAGGUUGUGCGGCUCUUGUAUGCGAACUCUGGCCUGGCUGUGUUGGCUCUUGCUUCCAAUGCCAUUCAUAAGCUGUGGAAAUGGCAACGUGGCGAAAGAAAUCCCAGCGGCAAGGUUAGCAUAUGGUAUAUGCAAGGUUGGUUGUACCAGUAGAUACUAAUGUAUACCGACCGUAGACCGUACCAUACUGUAUUGAUACCGAACCAGUUUGUGGUACAGAAGGCAUACCGAGUGUCGGUACGCCGAACCAGCCCCUAUACCGAAUGUACUAACACUAUAAUAGAAUGGUAUUGGUACGGGUUCGGUAUCGAGGCAGCAAACUUUGGUUAUAUAUAUGUCAGUUAGGAUCGAGUCUAUACAUUUGUUUUAUAUAAAUUUAACCUCUAGUAUGUUGCCAGUCCACUGCAUCUGUUGCACCUCAGUUGUGGCAACCAGCAAAUGGUAUUGUUAUGACCAAUGAAAUAAAUGAUAGCAACCCAGCUGAAGAAUCAACUGCUUGUAUUGCUCUGUCAAAGAACGACUCAUAUGUUAUGUCUGCAUCUGGUGGAAAGGUUUCAUUGUUCAACAUGAUGACAUUUAAGGUACAAAACUUCUUAACCCCAUCUUCCAUGUGUAUAUUCUGGAAGUCAUUUCUUCCUGCUAAUGCUAUGUAAUAUGUUAUAAAACAUCAUGUAAUUUGUUUUAAUAAUGCUAUGGAGUUAAUACUAUAAACAUGUUUCACAGGUUAUGACAACCUUCACAUCACCACCUCCUGCAGCCACUUUUCUGGCAUUUCAUCCUCAGGAUAAUAAUAUUAUUGCAAUAGGAAUGGAAGAUUCUAGCAUUCAAAUAUAUAAUGUCAGGAUUGACGAGGUGAUGGCAUGGUUCUAAUUUUUUAUUUUCUGGUUGAGAAUUGCAAAUUAAUCCUCAUAUUUAAUUUCUAAUGAAUUAUUUCAUUCUGCCAGUUGCACUACACUAAAGAGCUCUGACUAGUUUAUGUUUUCCAAGUAGUGGCAAGAACAGCUGUUUCCACUUUCACACACACACAAAAAAGCCCCAUUAGUGUUAUAUUACUUUUAAUGUUUACAAGCUCGUCAUGUUUAUUAGUAAUUUUUUAGCUGUUGUAACCUCAUCAUCAUAAUCAUUGCCUUUCUUAUGUACAUACCAGUUUAGAUAUGCUAGGAGAUACGUAAAAGAUUAUAUCAUAAGCACGUAAUUAUUGUUCUCUGGAAGGAUAUUGGCCUUGAGGUCAUGGAUCUUUUGUCAACCAAGAUAUAGGAGGAAGAAGAUCUCUCCUACUCUCCUUUUAACUCUUUCCAACUCUACAGAAAACUUAUAUUGCUCCUUGGUGUAUGGGCUUAAAUUUCUUAACCAUUAAUAUCCUCUAUAUUUAAAUGCCUUUAGGUUUGGUUGAGGGUUUGAUUUCCAUUAAAAAUGUUUACUAUUAAGCUUUAAUUUUGCUAUUUUUUCUGAAACUAUAUUCUGUCCACUCAGUAUUCAUUUCCAUUAUUUUACGCUUGUAGGUCAAAACUGAACUCAAGGGUCACCAAAAAAAAAUUACAAGCCUUGCAUUUUCCCAGUCAUUAAAUGUCCUGGUAUCUUCAGGAGCUGAUGCACAGGUAUAUGGAUAAUUAACGGUAUAGUACUUUGUGGAUCAGUAUAUAUCACAUAUUUGAACUGUGGUUUGCAAUUUAACCAUCUAUUGAUAUUUAAACAUAGAUUUACUUCUUGAUUCCACUUGCACUUGGCUGUUGGAAGCAAAAAAAGUUAAACUCUUUAGGUUAGAAAUAAGGUAAAUUUGCUUUUCUCAGUGAAUAAACAGUUGCUCCAACCCUUCAACCAGACAUGGAGAGAGAGAGAGUUGCAACAUAUGAAAAAUUAGCACCACAUUCCUUUUCCCUUGUAUUUUUUUUUGUUGCAUUCUUUGUUUACCAUGGACUUUAAUACAUUGAUGUAAAUUAAAAUGCAGCUUUGUGUAUGGAACAUUGAUGGAUGGGAGAAGAAGAAAUCAAGAUUCAUUCGAGCACCAGCUAGUCAUGCAGCUCCAUUAGCUGGGGAAACCAGGGUUCAGUUCCACAAUGAUCAGGCACAUCUCUUAGUUGUGCACGAAAGCGAACUUUCAGUCUAUGACAGCAAACUUGAAUGCCUUCGCUCGGUUAGUUCUUACCUCUAGUUAUCACAGUUGUAGUUUUCCAGUUGGCAAAAAAAGAAGAUAAAAUCCCUUAUACUCCUACAAUUGCAGAAGUUUAAUGACCAAGAUAUAUCCUUAUAGAAAUGCUUUUGUGGGCUACUAGUAUGUUUUACGUCUGUUACUAGUUUGUCCAUGCCUGUAGCAGGGAAACUUCGUAGAUCUCAGAUACUGUGGUUAAUUCACAAGUACCUUAUGGUGCGUCACUAUUCUUAAGAAGGAUUUCCUUUUACCAUCUGCUCUAGCAUUCCAGUAUAAUCUUCAGAGCAGAUGAAGGAAAGAAUUCAGCAGAACAGUGAUUGGUUUGGUCCUGAUUAAAUCCAAACCACACUUCUGUUUUUAGGCUUGCACCUGCAAAUAUUUGGGAAGUUGGGACCUUGGAGUUAUCCUGAAGAAUAUAUUGGUUAUCAUUUAUGACCAUAGGUGAUAUUAGUUCACAGGAUUUCUGACUUCUGGAAUGCUGUGCAUUCCGUUAAGUUUUUAGCAGUAGAUCCAUUAUGUAUCAUCUUUUAUAGCAUUAUCUGCAACAUAAAUGCUUUGAGAUUUUGGUGAAGUGGAUCUUGGUUUGUUAUAAAAGUGGAUGUUCUUAUGAUGCCAGUGUAUUUUGAUCGGUGGAAGCAGGAGAUAGGUCUGACUUUGACAUGCAUUGUCUUGUUAAAUUUGUUUUUUACUUUUAUUUGCAUUCCUCAUCUCUGAUUGUAGGUUUGACUUAUAUUCAAUUGCUCUUAUUUUUCCAUGACUUCAUUUCCUGUAAUGCAGUGGUAUCCUAGAGAUGCCCUUGCCGCACCCAUUUCAUGUGCGAUAUACUCCUGUGAUGGCCUGUUGGUAUAUGCUGGAUUCCGUGAUGGUGCAGUUGGAGUUUUUGAUGCAGACAGCCUGAGGCUCCGAUGCCGCAUUGCACCUUCUGCCUAUACAUCCCCUUCAGUUCCCAGGUAUUCCAGCAAUUUCAUCGCAUGAAUCUCCAGCAUUAUAUGAAGGCAAAGAAAAUGAGCUACUUUCAGUGAAUGAAUAAUUAAAUUACUAGAUACUUUCCAACUAUAGAAGCAGAAGUUCAGCUAUUAUCUUUAAAAAAAUAUUAAAUUAUGUAUUUGCAAAACUUUUCUACUAUCUAAUUUUUGAGAUAAUUCUCAUGGUUUUCAUCUAACAUAAAUGUAUAUUUGCCCGUUUAUCUUUCUAUAUACUGAUUUUGUUCUCUAACAUGGGGCUGAUAUGGAGUUUUUUACCCAAUCACUUUGCAGCACCAUGACAGUCUAUCCUUCGGCAAUUGCUGCCCAUCCAUCUGAAGCCAAUCAAAUAGCAUUGGGAAUGAGUGAUGGAGCAGUCCAUGUGGUGGAACCAUCAGAUAUAGAACCAAAAUGGAGAGCUCUGCCCUCCCAGGACAAUGGAACCCUCCCAUCCAUCCAUCUCAAUCCAGCUUUGAGCAAUCAGGUAUCAGAAGCUCCUCCAAGGUGACAAAACCAGUGUACACGUGUAUAGGGAGGUGAACAGGGCAACCGACUGGGUCGCCUUCUACGCAGCGCAACAUUCCGGAGAGAUCAUCUAGAUGCAUCAGGGGACUAGCCCUUUACAAUUAUGCCAUUUUGUAUCUCUUAACUCUGCUGGCUGCACCUACACCAGGGUAGGGUGCCGUUGUACCCAAAAAAAAAAAAAAAAGGUAACAAAACCAGUAGCUCUCGAGCUAUGCGGGCGAUCAACCUUUUUAUCUGACACCUUGCUGUCAAGGGAGAUUCAAUGUCUUCCCAGUUGUAAAGCUUGUUAUAAUUUGUUGGGGUUUUGAUUUUUUUCUUCUUAGAAGCCGGAAAAGUAUUUUCAGGUUCACAAUAUGUAAGAUAUGGAGUGCGCAUGGUAUGGACUAGUCUAAUUCUUUUUGUUCAUAGAGUAGUCAAUGCAUAAACCCUGAUGAUUUGUUGUUUUUGUUGCAUAUUGUUGGGUAAUAUUUGAAUUGUGUAGUGUGUAACUUGUGUUGCUUUCUCUUCUCUGGUGAUGGAGUCAGACAGGAUAAUUUUGUUCAUAAUCAUCAUACCUGUCUUAUGGAGAGUUAAGAAGAACAGAGUUGUUCGGAGGACCGGAAACAUCUCAUGACUGUGAACGUGAAUGCAGUCUGCUUUCUAAUUCCAUGCACUACACUCUAAGCCCUGAAGAUUUAUGUCCGCACUACCAUCAUGAGAUCAAGCACCAAAAUCAGUUGCAAGAGCUUCCACAGGAUGUGCUGAUUGAAUUUUCUGAUCCGAAUUGGAGCUGAGUAUAUUAACUCUAUGCAUAAGCGGUUUGAAGGCAGUGCCAUGGGAGUGCUUUCAUGGCAUAGCCAACCGUGAAAACUUCCUGGUGCCAGUUCACCAGGUGAUGUACAGGAGCUUGAAGUUUAGAGGGUUAGAGGUUGUCCCGAUGCAUCAUAUCUAAAUCUUGGCUAAUGCUCAACAUCUGCCUUUCUUCAUCAACUGGAGCUGGGAAAAAGAAGUGAAAAGGAUACUGUAAUAAUUUGUCUCAAUUUGUAUUGAUAUGACCUUGGUGCUCCAAGCAGUUGUUGUAUUUGAUCUUUUUCUUUACCCAAUCAUCGCUGUAGUUUGAUUGACCAGCAAUUGCUCAAAAAGAUAAAGAUCGUGAGUCAUUUGUGAUUCCCAAAUUUCGCAGUUGAGCCACUUCAUGUCCUCGUAAUUUUUCCUUUUCCGUCUGAAUGGCUCCUGCAGGAGCUGUGCUUGGCUGAUACUGGAGACGCUCGCUCUGACAAAUGCCUUGGUAAUGGAAAAUUAAGCAACUGAUGUAAAAUCUUCGUAGUUGCUCCUUGGCAGUAAUAUGAAACUUCGAAAACUAAGAGCUUUCUUUCUUCUUUUUUUUUUGAACUUGGUAGUGUCGUAGUGUCAAUUGUGGUGAGGAGAGAUCUGGAUUAAACUUCCUUGCCUUUGUUAAGCAGCAGAGGUCAUUAGUUGACAUAUCUGAAAAAUUCUCUAAAUAUAAAAAUAUUAAUAAAAAUAAGUGAAUUACGUUACCAUAAUAAAUAAGAAUAUCUUUUUCUUGCCGCGAAUGAAUGCCAAUAUAUAAGGAAAUAUUAUCAUUGGCCUUAUAAAUUGAUUAAAAUAGUCCUUUUUUUUAAAACAAUACGCUCCCAUUGAGCAUGGGCGAAUAUUUAUCAAUCAAACUCCCUGACGACUGCUGUCCGAAUAAGCAAUUCUUAAUUCUAGCUUGACCGAAGAACGGGAAAGGCUGUUAGGUGUGAGGUGAGCACCAGAUAGCCGUCCAUAUUCAAUCGGACGGACGGCUAACGCGAGUGGAAGGGUUUUUUUGGGUUUUUGAAUGGAUGCGGCGAAUCCGCUCCCUGGUGCGGCUUCGCCAAUGAACCAACGGUCAUAUUUUUAAAAAUUUUAGAUAGCCUCUGGCAACGGUAAUAUUUUUGAAUGCAGCCGUCCUUACCUUUAUAUAUCUGAGCCCCUCCUUCCGCCUCUCCUCAAGCCUCUAUCAAUCAAUCAUUCAUCCACCGCCCUGCGGCUCUUUUCAUUACUCCCCCAAUCACCUUGAAGGUAAGCUUCCCUUAUACGAUCCGAGACAUGGAUUUCCACAGCCUAUCAAGGAGAGAUUUGCAGACGCUCUGCAAGAAGAACCGGAUUCCAGCCAACAUGACCAAUGUCGCCAUGGCCGAUGCCCUCCAAGCUCUCCAAGCCGUAAGCAUCAUCUCCUCCUUGUUUCUCUCCCUCUCUCUUUUUUUCCGUUUUUACCCCAUUUUUCCAUUUCUCUUCUGAUUUCAAAACUCCAACUCUAAAUCAGGUUGAAGGUAUUGAAGAAAUCAAUGAAGCAUCGCAGUUCCAAUCCCCUGGGAAAGCAGAAGUGAGGUCCCCAAACCCACCUCGUACAUCCCGGAGAACCUCGGCUCGGAGAGCACCCGUUCCAGAGGAACCCAGAGAGCAACAGGGGAGUCCCCUGCCUCGGGCUCGUCGUGUGGCCAUUAAAGCUUCUGAGAUCAUGAAACUAGUUUCUGAAGGCGAGGAAGAAAAGAAACAGGGGCCAGAGGAGGCCCCCAAGAGCCCGGACGUUUGCACCGGUCAGAAGCCGCAGGCAGCACCGAGCACACGAAGAAGAGCCAUCAAGAAAGAAGAAAAGCCGCCUCAAGAAGAGCAGCAAAAGCAAGAAGAUGGGUCGAAAGAGAUUCCCAAGACUCCAGCAGCUGCCCGGAACACUAGGAGAAAGGCAAGCAAGGAAACAGAAGGACCCCAAGAUCCUCUUGAAGUACCCAAUACCCCAGCCAUCCGAUAUAGCCUGAGAGCAUCAGCCCGAAGGGGAGCCCAAACCCCCAUGGCAGGAGAAGAAAAGCAAGAGGAAACUGUGGGUCUAAGAACUACUCGCAGAACAAGGCAAUCUACAAGGAAACAGAUAGAAGAGACUGCCGUGGAUGAUACGGCAAAUGUUGGAAGGAGGGCCACAAGGGCAAAAGGUAUUGUCAAGAUGGUAUCUUUGGCCCAAGAUGAAGAACAAGACGAAAAAGGUGAGACUAUAAGUUUUUCGUUCUUCCCUUCUUCUUUUUUCCCCUCUGUUUCUUUUUCUUGAUGAUUGAUGGAUUCCACACAGAUAUCACUACCGAAGAUCCCAUCGAUCAGAAGAAUGAUCCUUUGCAAAUUUCUGACAUGAAAUCUGAUGAAAUCCUAAUGGACGAGGAGAUGAAGCCUGAGGUCCAGAACGGAGCCAUUUCUGAUUCCAGAGAUGCAGGGCCAAAGAAGGGUGGGAACGAUGGAGUCCAUAACUUGAGCACGGAUAAGGAUGACGAUGAAAUGGCUCAAGAAAUCGAGACUCGUACUCCAAUGGGGAAGAAUCUGGGUAAUGAAGCCGACGGACAACAGAUAUCAGAGGAGUUACCGGAGGAGGAGAGCGGCAAGCAAGAAUAUCAUGUCCUAUCUGGACCAGAAGAAUCACCGAUCAGAGGGCUGGUAUUCUCGGAACCUACCCCAGAGACAAAUCAAGAGCAGAAGGUAAUUCCGACGGUGAGAGAUGGGAGGUCCGAAGAAGAACGCGGAGGCGGUGAAGAUCUGGGUUUCGCUCUCCCAGAUCCUUCCCUCUCCGACGAAACCCCGGCGAACAUCGAAGACUCUGGCCACCAACUGCUGGAAACCCGAGCUGCUGGAGACUCACCACUCAUUGAAGAGAAUCUGACGGUCGAACUCCACAUCAAGAUCGAGGCGACCAGCGAUCAGAUCCCGGACGAUCUCAUCCAGAACAAAGAAGAAGAAGCGAGCCUAGAUCUCUCACCAACCGGGAACAGUUUGGAGGAAACCAAGGUUUUUGGCGACGAACUGCCGGUGGAUCAGGCACCUGAGACCGAAACCUCUACUGAUCUACAAGCUAAUAUAGAGAAUGGAGACGCCCCAGCCGAAUUCCCCAAUGAGAUUCUGGCCCCCAAAACCGAUGAUCCCGAUGACGGUGUCGAGAUCCCGGAGGGCGUCGGGGAAUCCAACGCCGGUAAACUGAUCGCAACUUCCUCUCCUCUCCAUCAAUCUCCCUCCUCAGACGCAACCAGAUCUCCAGCUAAGACCUUGGCCGUGGGUGGAGAUCAGACAGGACAUCCUGCGGACUCUGCCGUCGGAUCUCCAGCGAAGACCUCAGCUCAGGUCGGUGAUCUGAUCGGAGACCCAGCGGACUCCGGCAUAGAAUCUCCAGAUAUCGAGACCUCUGCUCAGGUCGGAGAUCUCAUCGGACAAUCUCCGGCCAGGACAGUGGCCGAGCUUGGAGAUCCGGCCGGAGGAGACCUCACAGACUCCGACCUCGGCGCCGGAGAUCACGGGAGCUACAAGACCGACAGCAAUGAGACCAUUCCGGAGAUCGAGGGGCGCGAGAAGAAGAGGGCGGCGGAGGAGCGGGUGCCGGUUGAUAUUUAUACGACGGAGAGUGGAGGCGGUGACGAUAACAAGAAUGUACCCAGUGGCGGGUUGACCAUGGUGGAAGUCGGCUGUCGAGAAGCGGAGGUGAAAUCCAAAGCAGAGAAGCCGAGCCCGUCCUACUAUACUAGUUUGAGUCUGAGAAAGCUCAAGGCAUUAGUAAGGGAGAAGGCCACCAAUCUCGACAAUAAGGUAAAAGGAUUUGUUACAAAGCAGCUUAAACUUUUUAAGUAAUCGUUUAGUUUGAGUAAUUGUUUUAAGAUUAUGUUAGUUUAGAAUGAUGAUAUGCCUCUUAUUUCGUUGGUUAGGUGGAAGGCGGAAGGGCAGCUCUUACCGAGCUGAAUGACAACCGUAUCUGAUGGAUGAUGAUGAUGAUGAUGAUAGAUGAUGAUGAUGAUGAUGAUGGAUGAUGUGCUGAUGGUUUUGCAAUUGAGAGAAACAGAAGGAUACAUGAGCUCAAGAUGAAUAAAUAAUUGUCAUUUUUGCUUCCAUUUUGCUUUCUGCUAUUGCAUUUUUGGAUGUUAUAUGAGUUGGGUUUUGGCUGUGAAACCAAGGUUUCUACACCCUCGUAUUUCCUUUUAUUUUUUAAUUUCUCCUUUUAUUGCCUGACUGUUUCUAGUGACAAAGAUUAAUAUUGAUGGUGAAUGGGUUUUUGUAUGGAGCUCUUGCUGCUCUUCUAAGCUGUGUUGCCCUGAUAAAAUUCUAUGCUUUUUCUCAAAGUGCUAGAUUAAUAGAAUAGUAGUCUGUUGUCCUCGUUUCAUUGUCUCAAUGUUGCAUUUGGUAAAGCUGGACUUGAUCCUCCUCUUUUCAGGAAACAAAAAAAAAAAGAAAAGAUAAUUGGAUCUCUUUUCCUCAAAUUUUUCCUGUUCGGUAAGUUGGAGUCAGCUACAAAUUUGAUAUACAAUGGCUGGCAAUAUCGAUUCGAUGAAAGAUGGCACACUUACAUGAAUGGUAGAUCAAAUGAUUUUUUCCCCUUCACUUUCCUUUCAUGAUUUUAACGAUUAAUGCUGGGUUUAGGUUGUGAUUUGUAAAAUCAAUACCUGCCAUUUCAUUUUUCUCUAUUCCCAUCGACGAUGGAGUUUUAUGCUUUCUGCAAUAUAUGUUGCACAUCCGAUCGUCUUCAGGACUAACAAUUGCAUUCAGGAAGGACUAGAUCUCUUCAUGUCUUUUUUUUUUGCUUUGAUUCGGAAGUAGCAAUUCACCUUCAGUCCAUUAAUGUGUCUCAUUUUUACUCUGAUCUAGAAUUUGUUAACUACCUCAUCAGACACAUACUGGACUUCAAUAUUGAGAAACAUUUUUACAGAUGCUCACGGGACAUUCAUUAAUAUAAUUUUGGCUGUUUCUUGUUAUAACUAAUGAAUAAUGUAUAUUUUUAUUGAGCAUUUGAGCAUCGGACCAGAGCAAUAUUUACUUUUUCAAAUUUAUUGACUAUAUUCAGUUCAAUGUUACCAGCCUAUCGAUUCUCUUCAAGAUUUACAGAUCUAACUCCCACUGUCCAAAUGAAUAGCUUUAGAAGUUACCAUUCAUUUUGUGAAUUCUUUAUGUAGAUUCCAAGAUCAAGAGUCAUUGCUCAAACGUUUAGGUGAAAGCAAAGUGAAAAGUUCUAAAAUAUCGAUAGUUUUUAACUAUACGAGUCACAUUCAUAAGUUGACCUAAAUAUGUGCAGAUCAGGUACAUAUUUUUCUCCAACUCAAUGUGAUCCAGAUUUGACAUAAAUAUAAACUUGUUGAUUGCGUCCUACUGUAGACAUUACAUUGUUCUUUUGGCAUAUGAUAUGAUGGAAUUACACUGUCCAUAAUGCUUCAAAAUAAUCUUAUCCACCCAUGAUUGUUUAUAAAAGAUAUAGCAUCAUACACAGUCAUAUGGUUUCAACAAAGAUACUAUGGACGGUAGUAUAUCAAGCACCAACGGGAAACAACUGCAUGCAUAUAACGUGUUUAGCCGUAAGCAUACUUGUAAUUGUCUAUCAGGCCUAAUCCAGUUUGCUGGUUUUCAUGGAAUCCAUAACGGUAGUAAUUGACUCGUUUUUGACGGUUAGCCAAAUAAAGAUCUUAAUUUUGUCGAGUGCAAAUGAUUAGCGUAUAUAGUAUUAGCAUGUGAAAAAAUAUGGAGAACUGAUAAGACUUAAUAGUAGAAGAAAUCAUUACCAUCAAAGAUUUCUUUAUCAUGUUUCUAAGAGUAUUGUUACAUGCCUCUGAUCAAAAGUUGCUCUUCAUUAUAACAAGUAAAGCAGAGGAAAUGGUCAUAAAAAACCUUCUCCCAGCCAAUUUAAAACCCUAACAGGCCAAUCUAGGGCAAUUCUCUCUAUCUGUCGUGGCAUGGAAGCUGUGGACUUUUUGAGGAACAAUAGCAUGCUGACAUGAUGGGCACAUAGUUAGCAUCGUUGGCUGUUUGUAAUGAUGAGCAUUCUGGAGUGGAGAUUUGAAUGCUUUGAGCUCCUGGAUCUCCUUUUGGAGCCUUCGGUUCUCUUCAGUUAGAUAUUUGCGCCACUGUUUCAAGUAUUUGUAGUCCACCUCAGUCUGCUUGAGCUUUGUUCUGAAUCAGAUGCAGCAAGUAGAGAAACUUGAGUUAUGAAAUAAUCAAGAAGUUAUAGAUGAUGAGACAAUGAUUAGAUCACGAUCAUGACAGAAACAAAGAGCUAUAUGGUACCGGGCUCUUCGGUUUUGAAACCACACUUCUACUUGACGGGGCAAGAGAUUUAGCCUCUUGGCUAUUGCAAGCUUUCGUUUCUGCAGUCAUGAAAUCCAGGCAGCCUAUUAUGAGAAUUAACUUGGUGACAAUUAAAAGUGUACUUACGUGAUCAUUUUGGUGUAUUAUAUGUGACAUUCUGGUUUUUAGGCAGAAAGUCCAAAGGGAUGGUUCAAGGAAAUAAAAAGGUCUUCUGCCACAAAUCAGCCAUGCUCAUCCAGCAUAAUGAUGAAGUGUACAGCUCUAAUGGGCUAGUAAUUAAGAUGCAGCAUGGAUCAUGGCGGGCCCUUCAUGAAUCUGAGUCAGUUUUAUGGGAAAAAAUAUAAAGAAAAAAUGAAUACUAGAAACAAGAUUUUUUGCUUUACUUUUUUUUGGAAGAAAAUCCAAGAAAAUUUCCAGUCCCAGUUCAAGCUCCAAAUUAAACCACCAACCAAGGCAGAUUAUAUAGGAUGCUCCUGUUUUGAUAAUGAAUAACUUGAUCUAACUAACCGGGUUCAGGGUGGUAUGCUCCUCAAAGCACUCUUCCAGAUAACAAGACUGCUCUUUUGAUAGCCUUAGCUUCUUACUUCCUCUGCCCCCGUCGCCUUCACCAUCAUUGUGACAUCCCCGAGAACCUCUUUCUGCUAUCAUGCUGUGAGAAGUCGAAGGUGAAGGCUUCACUGUCAUUACAUCGAGCCCACAUCGAGAUGUGGCUCGAUAAAUAUUCCCUGUUUCUUUUUGAAUCCAAAAAAAAAAAAGAAGAAACAUAUCAUCAAGUUUGGGACAGCCAUAUACUACAAGGCAUGAUGCAUAAAGAGAAAGAAGUAUCUCUUCUAUGUGAUGAGCUCAGUCUAUGAAAACAGAGACCUACCUGACUCAGUCUCAGUCGAGCACGGGAGCUUCAAUUCAAGUUCAAGGGAGGGGUGGAUCGUUGGUUGCACUCCGUCUUUGUCCAUCAAUUCAGGCUCUUGGCUUGUCGUACUUUGUUUACUACUGCAGUCACCAUUACAGAUUGAUAAAGCUGCAUCCAUAGCUCAAAUCUCAUAGGAAGACGCAUGCAAGGAGAUGAGUAGCAAUGGGGCUUUAUAGAAGUGGAUGGAGUCUGGAGGUGAGAGAUGGGCCUCAGAUGGUGAUAGGCAUGAGUGCAAGACAGCAAGUUGAAGGAGGGGCACGAGAAAAGGAGAGUGAUGAGAAAAUUCCCACCCUUGUCUUCAUCAUCACAGGGUGUCCUCCACAUUGUCGCAAAGGAAAAGAUGGCAUUGAUUGCUUUCAUACUACAACCUUCCAAUAAUUUGCAUGGGCACCAGCUCCCCCUUAAUUCCCUUUGGAUCCUAACUUUCUGUUUCUUUUUGGUUAACACUUCCAAGCCGAAGGCCGAAGUCAUGUUUGCCGGUGCUUGUUUUUUGGGUCCUACCAUAUCUAAGCUAGCCUCGCUAGUCAUAGAAAUAUGCCACGUGUAGAAGAAACUUAUAUAUAAAGAAUUUUAAAUUCAGCUACUUUUUGUUUUGUAAUUAAUAUAUAUUGUUAAAAAAAGGAGGCAAUUAUUGGGCCUGUAUUUGCUUGCGCCUUUAUUUGGAGGCUAUGCAGCAGGGAGUGUUGGGCCAUGGAUCAUGCGACUUCAUGAGAUGGCAGUAGAAUCCCAAAAUUAUGUGCAUUUCUUAAAGCAUCCUGUACACUGGGAGAAAAAAAUAUAAUAUCAAAAACAAGUGUUGAGGUAGAAAUUUAUAAUUUUAGAAAGUAAAAAUUAUCUUUAAAAUAGUGUAUGCGGAUGUGCAUGCAUAUAUGGGCGCCUGCAUGCCAUGGGUGCUGCAUUUAGACUAUUUGAGAGAAAGAACUAAAGGAGAACUAUUUGUGAUCAUAGAAACAUAUGCAAUGAAGGUUAGGGAGGCUCAAAUGAGUCAAAUAUAGGAUAUGUUAUGGUGUUAGGAAAAUGGGCGAGUAUUUAAGGAGAUCAAGAAUUUAAAAGUUUAUUAAAAAAAAAUUAGAAAAUGCCUACAAUGGUGCAUCCCUAAAAUAUUUGAAUUUAAAUAGUUAAAAAGAUACUAUACUAUAUAACAAAAUUCUAUCUGUGUGUGUGUUUGUCUUCUUCUUUCUUUUUUUUCUUUUAUUUUUUUUUAGUACGCCGGCUCCUCACACCAAACGAAUAUGAGUACAACUAACAAAAUCAGAAAAAAAGAAGUUAUCUAAGUGGGUCAGGAACAUCUACCUGAUUCACCCAUAGGAAGCUCCCAGAAUGAUGUGUCGCAUAGGAGACCACCUAGUCAGUGGCUGUGUUUACCAACUAGUAAACAUAUGCAGUCCUGAAAGCGCCACAGUCCUCGGUCAUCCUUUGUAUGUCUUGGAUCAGAGAUAGCCCAUCCGCCACGGUACGUCGCCCGCUGAUCAUUUUGAUCACAAAGGCCGAGUCAUCCUCUAGGUAAAUAUACUCGACACCUAGAGUGUCUCGCGUAGACGACACACUCCCAUGCCGCCCGCAAUCUACUCCACUGGCCGAGAUGUCGUAAAUCCGGCACCUACCUACCGCUACAAAUCUAGAGUGGUGGUCUCUGAUCACAAAUUCAACAACUCCCCUCGCGCCCUGCUCCGCAGCACUGCCAUCAAA